rnacentral:rRNA from 1 species
GUGGGGGAUAUUGCACAAUGGGGGAAACCCUGAUGCAGCAACGCCGCGUGAGGGAUGAAGGUUUUAGGAUUGUAAACCUCUGUCCUUAGUGAAGAAUAAAAUGACGGUAACUAAGGAGGAAGCUCCGGCUAACUACGUGCCAGCAGCCGCGGUAAUACGUAGGGAGCAAGCGUUGUCCGGAAUUAUUGGGUGUAAAGGGUGCGUAGGCGGCUAUGUAAGUCAGACGUGUAAUUCAGGAGCUUAACUUUUGAACUGCGUUUGAAACUGUGUAGCUUGAGUGGAGUAGAGGCAGAUGGAAUUUCCAGUGUAGCGGUGAAAUGCGUAGAUAUUGGAAGGAACAUCGGUGGCGAAGGCGAUCUGCUGGGCUCUAACUGACGCUGAGGCACGAAAGCAUGGGUAGCAAACAGG